rnacentral:rRNA from 1 species
ACAGCAGCAGCCGCGGUAAUACGUAGGUCCCGAGCGUUGUCCGGAUCUAUUGGGCGUAAAGCGAGCACAGGCGGUUAGAUAAGUCUGAAGUUAAAGCCCCCGACUCAACCGGGGAGGGUCAUUGGAAACUGGGAAACUUGAGUGCAGAAGAGGAGAGUGGAAUUCCACGUGUAGCGGUGAAAUGCGUAGAGAUGUGGAGGAACACCAGUGGCGAAGGCGACUCUCUGGUCUGUAACUGACGCGGAGGAGCGAAAGCGUGGGGAGCGAACAGGAUUAGAUACCCCCGUAGUCCCUGUCUCUUAUAC